AUCACUUUGUUUCCGUUGCCUUUUCCGCGGUGCAGUCGACACACAUGGAAGAACAGACUGGAAUUGAAGAGAUACUGACGGGGGUGCACAGCUGCAACACACCAGGACUAAUGCCCCCCUGUUCUCUCCCGCUCCCUCUAUUUUCCCUCUCUCCCUCCUGUUUCGCUCUUCCCUUUCUCUAGCACUCUCUCUGGUUCUCUGCCGUUCGGAGGGUGGGGGUGCCAUGAAGGCGCUCAGAAAAAUGUAUCGGGAAUAGACAAAAGAACAGUCUGCGGUAUUCCGGCUCGGAUGUUUGCACCUCGGGGACUCUGAACCCGAACGUGACCCUGGCCGGCGACCCAACCCUUAUGAAAGACGCAACUAUGAAGGGAGUCGUGGCAGUUGUUAGGGCUGAGGCAGAAGCAGAGCGAAGGGGAGGAAGAGGAAGACGAAGAGAGGUGGACGGGGUUUGGCGUUGAAGUGGAGGGCCACUUCCUGCAGGGGAAAAGCCGAAGAUAAGUCAGACCCCGCACACAAACACGCUCAUUAGUAUGCAGCCGCCGUCUCGCAGGUGACACAGCUGCUGGAUGGCAUCCCACGUGGAGGAACAUCAGCGGCUGGUCUGAGAGCAGACGCAGGUAAGGUCGGGCACAGAGGACAGGAGGGAGGAUUGGAGAACGCACGCCUCGGAUUUAAGACCACCCUCUUCAUCUUGUAUAACUGCUGCAGCCCGCAGAAACACUCUCAGAUCCGUUUUAUAAAACCUGUGAGGCAACACUUCUGCUUAUAUUUGAGGAGAAAAAAAUGUGAUUUCGCUUCAGUGGCUCCGCAAAAUAUGUACAUUAUACAUUCACCUCUAAGGGCCUCUCUGUUAAGCUAUGUUUAAUUUAAAUACACAAACUUAUAAAGAUCACUCUACUCAGUGUACUAAAAAUUCCCUGUUAGCAUGUUUUUAUUAAUCCUUUUUCUUUUUUUUUUUUGGUAAUUUA